UAGGCCUGGACUCCCUGGCAGGCCACAGUAAUGGCCACAACUCUGCUCCACUUCCUGCGACGGAUUUCAUGCGGCUCCAUCACUCCCUAGCAGGCCAUAGUAAUGGCCACAACUCUACUCCACUUCCUGCGACAGAUUCCACACGGCUCCAUCACUCCCUGGUAGGCCAUAGUAAUGGCCAUGACUCUGCUCCACUCUCCGCAACAGGCUCCACGUGGCAGGCCACGGUGAUGGCCACGAUUCCACUCCACUACUCUUCCUAACAAACUCC
rnacentral:lncRNA from 1 species